rnacentral:lncRNA from 1 species
UGCUGUCGGUAGGGGAGUAGGGAAUUACAAUCCGAAGACUGAUACUAAGAAGUUUAACCUCGUUGAUCCUGUUGAACGGAACACAAUUGGAGUACCUUCUGGUGGAUGGGUGGCGAUAAGAUUUCGCGCCGAUAAUCCAGGUAAUUGCUGUUUAAUGUUUUCGUUUGGAAGUACAGAGCUUGGCAUUUUCAAGUUUGUUUAAUUUCAUGUUCUCUGAUUUUCUUCUUCGCAUCUCUUGUAGGAGUUUGGUUCAUGCAUUGCCAUCUAGAGGUGCACACUACAUGGGGACUUAAGAUGGCGUUCUUGGUAGACAAUGGCAAAGGCCCUAAGGAGUCUCUUCUACCGCCGCCAAGCGACCUUCCAAAAUGUUGAAGUCAGAUCAAGAACUAUACUAACUCGAGGGAUAGAAGCCAUACUUUAUCAGGAAACUUGGUCCCGGUAGAAACAUUCUAUGCUCGAAGAGAGCAGAGUGUGUAUAUAUAUAAUUUGAGGGUUAAAGAUCCGAUUUGUUUCUUGAGUGAAUUGGAAGAUUUGCUCAAGCGAGUUUGCAUAAAAUUUUGUGAGCGGUAGAGCUGUUUCAAUUCAAAUGUUAUUUUUUCUUGAAUAAAUAUAUAUAUAUUGAAGAUUUGAUCACAAAGCCAUUCAUGAUCAAUAAAACUUGUAUGCUUCUAAAUAUGUUCAUGGGUCGGGUUGGAUAAGACCUAGAUCAGGCCCGAUUAACUUUUCUAAGUUAUAUUGACCCGUAUCUGGCCAGAAUCGAUCCUUGGGCUUUCAAGCCCUUUAAGAAAUAAAAAAUAAAAAAUAAAAGCAAAAUAAUAUGUAGCAAUAGAAAUUAGUUUUUUUUUUUUUGAGACAAGUAUCGAAAUUGUUAAAGAAUAAGGAAGCAAAGUUUUAGCACGGCGAAACAAAUAUUUAUAUAACGCGGCAAUGAUUAGAAAUUCUAGCAAUGAUUGCAUUUCUUAGACCCAAAAGCUGUAUGUUUUUAAAUAUUUUUGAUAUGGUAAAGUAAGAAAUUAUUAUUUUAAUAUAUUUUAAAAUAAAAAAUUUUAAAAAUUAAUUUUUAUCACAAUCUCAAAUAAACAUUAGGUGAAAAGAAAAAAGAAAAGGAACAAUACAAACUGAAGCAUGGAGUUAGAACUUAAUUUUGUAGUUUAUUAAAAUAAAUAAAUUAAUUAUGGUUUUAACUAUAUAUUUACUCUUUUUGUUUUUAAAACCAUUUAUAACUUAAUAUUUUUCAUCCCUUUUAUGUUGUUUUUUCAAUAUAUUUAUUUUUUGUUUUAAAAACAGAAAAAAGAAAAGAAAAAGAAAAAGAUAAAUUAAGAAGAUUGAUAAAAUAGAAGAUACCUUUAUUUUUUUUCCCAAUAUGCUACGGCUAAAACUGGUUAGGAAAAUAGUGUAGCUGCAGAUGCAUUGGCACUGUUCACUAGAACAUUCUAAUGACAUCUUUGUCUUUUCCAUAAAAAAAACUUAUAACUAGUUUCUGGGAACAUGAAAGUCUUUUGACGAUGUGCAUUAGUCAUUCUUAAAUUAAUUAGGGGCAAUUAUGUCUUUUUCAAUUUAAAAAUACAGUGAAAAGACCGAAAUGCCCUUAAAAGCAAAAAAUUCAAUGCUAGCAUCAAGGGACAAUUUGAUACUUUUAAAAUUGUUUUUUUCUAUUAUUAUCAUGUAAGAUGAGGAGCAAUUUUGUAUUUGGAUAAAUAUAUAUAAAAAAUAAAAAACAUAGUGAAACGAUCAAAAUGUCCUUGGAAGUCUAAACAUAAAAAAAAAUGAUCUCAAGGGACUUUUUCCAUAGGUUUUUAUCUCAAAGCCUUCCCAAACUUCGAUUGAUAUUCAAUUUUAACUCUAUAAAAAAUAAGGUCUGUGAAAUCUUUUGGUAAAAUAUCAAUUCGAUCCAACGUUCAAAUUAAAAAUUAUGCUUGUUAGCGUAAAACUGUACAUUAGAAAAAAAAAGCCCAAAAUUACCUCUCAUUACCCAACCCUUUUAUGGACCACAUUAAUCAAGGCUUAGUCACCUUUUCUUGAAAAUUUAAAACUUGACUUGACCCAAAUAUCUUGAAUAAGCCCAUCGAAUAACUCUUCAAUCUUUUUGGUCGAAUGAUACAAGGUCAAAAUCUUUGGCUUCUCCUUCCUCAUUCUCAUCAACCAUCUCAUCAAUGAUCCUACACCUCACCAAACAUCACAUUCAUCCUCUCAAAUUGUUGUUCUAUAACCAGCAAUUUAAGAUGUCCUCCUUCUUCUUUUCAGAGGAUGCCCCGUCUUUGGAAGACAUUAUCAAAUUUAAAAUUUUACGUUAGUAAUAAAAAACAAUUAUCAUCACUCACUCCCUUAUGUGUUUACACUCUAUAAUCAACGGGUUGUAGUUGUUCAUCCAAUAGCUUCGAUUCUUUGGUUCAAGGUAAACACUAGAUCGAGUUUUUAUCUUCAAUUCGAUUUUAUCUUUUUUGGGUUGUAUUUUUUCUUGUUUAUGAGUUCACAUCACAAGAAACUAUUUUAUAAUAAACCUAAACCUAGGUUCGAGCCACAUCGUGUCGACACGUGCUUGCGUAUGGGUUUAAGUUCAAAACCCACUUUGCUUAUGUCAUUUUCCCUCUAAAAAAUUGGGUUCCUUUUGGUCUCAAUAUUAACUCUUCGCCUUCUCAUUAAAUAAGUCACAAGAAAAACUUAUUUCUUUCCAACACGGAUAGAGUUUUUAAAGGGUUUGGGUUUCACUAAAACAUGUCAAUCAAAGGUUCUUUGAGAAUAAUUUUUUAUUCAUCCAUAAUUUAAUUAAAUCAUAUUAGUGUUCUAUGUUAAAGAGCUUAUAUUGGAUAUUAAAUUCCAACAAAGUUUUAACCCCAAAAAUGAAUGGAUCCACUUUUAAUUUGGCCUCAAAUAUUUCCAUUAACCAUGUUCCAAGACAAAAUUUGCAACAAAAUGUCCCAUUAACAAAGCAGAAUGUUUUUGUUACAAUACUAAUGUCAGUAAAAAUGAGUAGAGAAUGUUGAUGAAUUUAGAUAUAACUAGUUUAUUUUCUACACUAUCAUUGUGGGUUGGAUGAAAUUUUUUUGGAACAUAAGAAAAUAAUAUAUAAACCAUAUGAAACUUUUCGGCAUUGUCAUUAAAUUAGGUGCAACAGUUCAAACUUGACAACUCUUAACAUGACUAUUUGUUUAGCUCAAGUUUUUAAUUAAAUCAUAUGAAAGUUGCUCUUAUGUGACAUUGUUUACUGGGUAGGUGCAAAGAAAAAAAAACACGUUAGGUUCAACCUAAUCAACCCACCAAACUCGUGAUCGAAGUUAUGAGCUUCACUAGGUCAAAUUAAUUUUUUUUAUUUUAUUAUAUAAUAAAAAUAUAAAUUUUUAUUUACCAUCAACACAAUACUAAAAAAUAAAAUUAAAAAGAAAAACUUCACAUUAAAAGAUAAUAUUGAAAGAAAAAAAUAAAAUAUGUAAAAAAUACUCUAAUGGUGUGCUAUGAUAAAGCCAAACACGCGGGCACGUGGGCUUGGGGAAGGCCUGCAGCUUGGGCUGUGCACAUCUUUUUUAUUUGCAAAAAAGAAGAAAAGCAACCUCUCAUCUAUCUUUUGAAAGAAUAUACUGCUAUCUGUAGCUAGGAAUCAAACCCACAACCUCCACACCUACCUCCUUGCUUACCACCACUUGAACUAUGACAAGAACUUAACCAAGCUAUUAAAAUAUAUCAACUUGAUUUUAAUAACUAAGCCAAAUCCAGCCAUUUAGUUGUUCCUUUUUACUAUUAGAUUUGAAAUCAAUGGUUUUAACAAACCAGCAUUUUAGACAUUCCCAAAACAGACGGAUGCGCAAAAGCAUUGAAUUGAAUUGAAAAUAUUGAUCGGAUCAUGCAUGGAUUUUCAUAUAAAAAAAACACAUCACCGUGGAAAGGACCUGGUGAGCACUCAUCAUUAGAAUUCAGAGCCGCAAGUAAUCCUGGGACAUCCUUUACAAGGACUACAAGUAAUGCCUUGAAAAAGAGAGUUCGGCCUACCAAACUUAACCCGUAUUGUUCUUAAAUCUACGAAGAGCACCAGGUCCUAAAAAAGAGUAGCAAAAUAAAAUAAAUUCUAAGGCAACUAAUUGAAAAUGGUGAUUAAUUAAGGUGACUUGUCCGUUGCUGAUCAAUUGACCACAUGUUCUUUUACUCUAUUUUUAUAUUGUUGUGAACCUACUUGAGUAAAUAGCAGGACAAGAGAAUGUUUUCAGGAUAAAUAUGUAGGAAGUGGGUGCCAAAUUUAAUCAUUUAAUUUACAGAUUUCCUAUGCCACCAAAUUAUCAAACUUCCAUGCAAGGUUCCUAAUUAAUAAAUGCAAAAAUUAGAAAACACAUGGUCUGCUUCCCAAACUAUGUUGAUCCAUGAACAAGACGACUUUAUGUAGCAUGUAAGAAACCUAGUAAGAUUAGGCUUCUAAUCCUUGUUUUCCAAGAAUGAACUCACCCACCUAACCUAACUGUGAAAAACGACAUGGCAGCAAUUCCCAUAUUCCCUUUAUAAGGUUGAGGUAGCCAGUCACGGAUGAAGACAACAAGCUUGAAAGCAAGAAGGAAACCAACAGCAACAGAGAGAUUGCCAAAGAAAGGUCUCGAAGUCAGCAAAUAUGGAGUACUCCAAUUUGCUCAUCCGUUUUAUGCUUCUUGCUGUCUGCCUCCUCCCCGCUUUGGUCGAGUGCAGGAUUCGGCAUUACAAGUUCAAUGUAAGUUAAAUGCUGUAGCAAGCUUCCAUGUGACGAAAGCCUGAACUGCUUGCGCUUUAGGUCAUUAGUCUCAUUCAUGUGACGAAAAUCUUCUUUGAAAUGCAUUUCGUUAUUAGAAGAUAGCCAUGUUUUGCACGAUGCAUUGCGCAUCAUGACACUGCCUUGGCUUAAAAUCAUGCAACUUUACCCAUAUCUUUUUCCUGACUAGUCCAUGAUUCAAAUGGAAAUCAUAGAGUUUCCACCUACCUAUAGCCACUAUUUUAAAUACCAGAAAAGUUUAUUCUCAUGCUUACUUUAUGGUUAAAUAAUUGCAGCAGAAAGCUCUCACUAUAUAUAUAUAUAUAUAUAUAUAUAUAUAUAUAUAUAUAUAUAUGUUCAAGAAACCAUUAAAAAAAUAUUAAAUAGGAAAAGGGUGGUAAGAUCUCAAAGCACUGUAGUGACAUAAUUUGUCACAACAAAUUAAACAAUAUGGACAGUUUAGCAUUUGAUGUAGAAAUGAGCUUAAAUAUUUCACCUAUCAUUUCAACAGGUGGUGAUGAAAAAUACUACCAGACUAUGCUCUAGGAAGCCGAUUGUUACCGUCAAUGGCCGCUUCCCAGGACCCACUCUGUAUGCCAGAGAACACGAUACAGUUCUUGUAAAAGUUGUUAACCAUGUCAAAUAUAAUGUUUCUAUUCACUGGUAAGCUAACGAAACAAACCCUGUAUAACAGUUAUACUUCAAUUCAUCAUGAAUGAUACCGAUGCGGAUUUUUCUUGGUAUUCUGCAGGCAUGGCAUUAGGCAACUAAGAACGGGCUGGGCUGAUGGACCAGCAUACAUUACACAAUGCCCCAUUCAGCCAGGGCAAAGCUAUGUCUACAAUUUCACAAUCACUGGUCAGAGGGGCACACUUCUUUGGCACGCACAUAUUCUCUGGCUAAGGGCCACAGUUCAUGGUGCCCUGGUUGUCUUGCCUAAACGCGGCAUCCCCUACCCAUUCCCAGCUCCUCAUAAAGAAGUGCUUGUUGUAUUAGGUGAGCAGGAUACAUAAUAGCUAUUUCUUUCACUAAAACUUUUGAAAUUCUGUGCAUUCCGCCAUAAUUCAAAUCUUUAAGGUUCAUGGUUAUUAAAUAUGUAACCUGAGACUAAGGUGGUGACGUGAAAUUGCAGCUGAAUGGUGGAAAUCAGAUACUGAAGCUGUGAUCAACGAGGCUCUUAAAUCUGGAUUAGCUCCAAAUGUCUCUGAUGCUCACACAAUUAACGGCCAUCCAGGAGCUGUCUCAGCUUGUUCUUCACAGGGUAUUCAACUAAGAUUAAUGACCAUAAGAUAUACCUGUGAGUUCUGGCUCUCAAUGCUUGCUUUCUAAUAGAGGUCUGAUACAGAAAGAUUUUUGGAUUCAUGCAGGCGGUUUCACAUUGCCAGUCAAAAGUGGCGAGACCUACAUGCUACGGUUGAUCAAUGCUGCACUCAAUGAAGAGCUCUUCUUCAAAAUUGCAGGGCAUAAGCUUACAGUCGUCGAAGUGGAUGCCACCUAUGUUAAACCAUUCAAAACCGAUACAGUCCUAAUUGCCCCAGGCCAGACCACCAAUGUCCUUGUCACAGCUAACAAAAAUACAGGCAAGUACUUGGUUGCUGCCUCCCCGUUCAUGGAUGCUCCAAUUGCUGUGGACAACAUGACAGCAACAGCCACUUUGCAGUAUUCAGGAGCACUUGCUAACUCCCCUACAACUCUCACCACCCCACCUCCAAAGAAUGCCACUGCAGUUGCCAACCAAUUUACCAACUCUCUACGCAGCCUUAACUCAAGAAGAUUUCCUGCCAAAGUCCCAUUGAACGUUGAUCACAACCUUUUCUUUACAGUUGGUCUAGGAGUUAACCCAUGUCCAAGUUGCAAAGCUGGUAAUGGCAGCAGGGUUGUUGCUAGUAUUAACAAUGUCACAUUUGUGAUGCCAACCACUGCCCUGCUCCAAGCACAUUUCCUCAACAUCAGCGGUGUGUUCACCACUGAUUUUCCUGCAAAGCCACCGCAUGUUUUCAAUUACACUGGCACUCCACCUACAAAUUUACAGACCAAAAGUGGAACUAAAGUUUAUAGGCUGAGCUACAACUCGACAGUCCAACUUGUUAUGCAAGAUACUGGGAUCAUAUCCCCUGAGAACCAUCCGAUCCAUUUACAUGGAUUCAAUUUCUUUGCUGUCGGUAGGGGAGUAGGGAAUUACAAUCCGAAGACUGAUACUAAGAAAUUUAACCUCGUUGAUCCUGUUGAACGGAACACAAUUGGAGUACCUUCUGGUGGAUGGGUGGCGAUAAGAUUUCGCGCCGAUAAUCCAGGUAAUUGCUGUUUAAUGUUUUCGUUUGGAAGUACAGAGCUUGGCAUUUUCAAGUUUGUUUAAUUUCAUGUUCUCUGAUUUUCUUCUUCGCAUCUCUUGUAGGAGUUUGGUUCAUGCAUUGCCAUCUAGAGGUGCACACUACAUGGGGACUUAAGAUGGCGUUCUUGGUAGACAAUGGCAAAGGCCCUAAGGAGUCUCUUCUACCGCCGCCAAGCGACCUUCCAAAAUGUUGAAGUCAGAUCAAGAACUAUACUAACUCGAGGGAUAGAAGCCAUACUUUAUCAGGAAACUUGGUCCCGGUAGAAACAUUCUAUGAUCGAAGAGAGCAGAGUGUGUAUAUAUAUAAUUUGAGGGUUUAAGAUCCGAUUUGUUUCUUGAGUGAAUUGGAAGAUUUGCUCAAGCGAGUUUUAAUAAAAUUUUGUGAGC